rnacentral:rRNA from 1 species
UAUUGGACAAUGGGGGUAACCCUGAUCCAGCCAUGCCGCGUGUGUGAAGAAGGCCUUUUGGUUGUAAAGCACUUUAAGCGAGGAGGAGGCUACCGCGAUUAAUACUCUUGGAUUGUGGACGUUACUCGCAGAAUAAGCACCGGCUAACUCUGUGCCAGCAGCAGCGGUAAUACAGAGGGUGCAAGCGUUAAUCGGAUUUACUGGGCGUAAAGCGCGCGUAGGUGGCCAAUUAAGUCAAAUGUGAAAUCCCCGAGCUUAACUUGGGAAUUGCAUUCGAUACUGGUUGGCUAGAGUAUGGGAGAGGAUGGUAGAAUUCCAGGUGUAGCGGUGAAAUGCGUAGAGAUCUGGAGGAAUACCGAUGGCGAAGGCAGCCAUCUGGCCUAAUACUGACACUGAGGUGCGAAAGCAUGGGGAGCAAACAGGA